CCCGCUGAACUUAAGCAUAUCAAUAAGCGGAGGAAAAGAAACUAACAAGGAUUCCCCUAGUAACUGCGAGUGAAGCGGGAAAAGCUCAAAUUUAAAAUCUGGCGGUCUCUGGCCGUCCGAGUUGUAAUCUAGAGAAGCAAUGCCCGCGCUGGACCGUGUACAAGUCUCCUGGAAUGGAGCGUCAUAGAGGGUGAGAAUCCCGUCUUUGACACGGACUACCAGGGCUUUGUGGUAUGCUCUCAAAGAGUCGAGUUGUUUGGGAAUGCAGCUCAAAAUGGGUGGUAAAUUCCAUCUAAAGCUAAAUAUUGGCGAGAGACCGAUAGCGAACAAGUACCGUGAGGGAAAGAUGAAAAGAACUUUGGAAAGAGAGUUAAACAGUACGUGAAAUUGCUGAAAGGGAAACGCUUGAAGUCAGUCGCGUUGGCCGGGGAUCAGCCUCGCUUUUGCGUGGUGUACUUUCCGGUUGACGGGUCAACAUCAAUUUUGACCACUGGAAAAAGACUUGGGGAAUGUGGCAGCUCCGGCUGUGUUAUAGCUCUUUGUCAUAUACAGUGGUUGGGAUUGAGGUACUCAGCACGCCGCAAGGCCGGGUUUCGACCACGUUCGUGCUUAGGAUGUUGGCAUAAUGGCUUUAAGCGACCCGUCUUGAAACACGG
rnacentral:rRNA from 1 species